GUCUACGGCCAUACCACCCUGAACGCGCCCGAUCUCGUCUGAUCUUGGAAGCUAAGCAGGGUCGGGCCUGGUUAGUACUUGGAUGGAAUGGGAAUAGAGGAAUUCAGUAUGUC
rnacentral:rRNA from 1 species